rnacentral:rRNA from 5 species
CAACAACGGAUCUCUUGGUUCUGGCAUCGAUGAAGAACGCAGCGAAAUGCGAUAAGUAAUGUGAAUUGCAGAAUUCAGUGAAUCAUCGAAUCUUUGAACGCACAUUGCGCCCUCUGGUAUUCCGGAGGGCAUGCCUGUUCG